rnacentral:rRNA from 1 species
AUUGAACGCCGGCGGCAGGCCUAACACAUGCAAGUCGAACGAGUGGCGGACGGGUGAGUAAUGUCUGGGAAACUGCCUGAUGGAGGGGGAUAACUACUGGAAACGGUAGCUAAUACCGCAUACCAUCAGAUGUGCCCAGAUGGGAUUAGCUAGUUGGUGGGGUAACUGCUCACCAAGGCGACGAUCACGAGCUGGUCUGAGAGGAUGACCGACCACACUGGAACUUAGACACGGUCCAGACUCCUACGGGAGGCAGCAUGGGGGACUAUUGAACAAUGGGCGCAAGCCUGAUGCAGCCAUGCCGCGUGUAUGAAGAAGGCCUUCGGGUUGUAAAGUACUUUCAGCGGGGAGGCGUUACCCGCAGAAGAAGCACCGGCUAACUCCGUGCCAGCAGCCGCGGUAAUUC